GAAUUCUUAACUAGGACAUUUUAUUACCUCCUUUAAUAAUUUAUUUUGUUUUAAUGUAAAACAGUUCUUUGAAGGCAACAGAAGCCUCCUAUUUUUUUUCUUCCUUGGUAAAUAUUGUCAUCUCUGUACAGUGCAUUAAAAUAUGCGCAAAGGUAUGUCAUGCUUUUUACUUACCUGAGAAACGCAGUCAUUAACAUUAUAGGAUCAAUUUCCCUGUGUUUCCUUUUAGGGUCAUGUGGUUAUGGGUAACAAUGCAGUCUCACCCUAUCAGCAAGUGAUUGAAAAGACCAAAAGCCUUUCCUUUAGAAGCCAGAUGUUGGCCAUGAAUAUUGAGAAGAAACUUAAUCAAAAUAGCAGGUCAGAGGCUCCUAACUGGGCAACUCAAGAUUCUGGCUUCUACUGAAGAACCAUAAAGAAAAGAUGAAAAAAAAACUAUAAAAGAAAGAUGAAAUAAUAAAACUAUUAUAUAAAGGGUGGCUUACAUUUUGGAAACAACAUAUUACGUAUAAAUUUUGAAGAAUUGGAAUAAAAUUGAUUCAUUUUAUCUUGCUGUCAGUUUUCUUGCAUGUGCAAGUUUGUGUUUUUUUAACUUUCUUUUUUGGAAUAAUUGUAUUCAGAGGAAGUUGCAAAAAUAGUACAGAGAAGUCCAUGUAGGCUGAACCCUGUUUCCCUCAAUUUUUUCACUUUAUGUUACUAUGGUACAGUAUCAAAACCAGGAUGUUGACAUUGGUACAGUGUGUGUAUGAAUAGCUCCCUACCAUUUUAUCACAUGUGUAGAUUUGUGUAACCAUCACUGCAGCCAAGAUAGACAACUGUCAUCAUGAUCUCCCUCAUGCUACCUUUUUGUAGCCGCACCUACUCCCAACCACCUCUUACCCUAGGAACCACGAAUCUGUUCCUCAUCACUAUAUUUUGUCAUUAUGAGAAUGUUAUAUAAAUGGAAUUACAUAAUAUAGAACCUUUGAGAUUAGCUUUUUUAAUUCAUCACAAUGCUCUUUAGAGCCAUCCAAGUUGAGAUAUAUAUAUACACACACACAUAUAUAUACACACACAUAAAAUAAAAUCAGUAGUUAAUUCCUUUUUUAUUGCCAAAUAG
rnacentral:sRNA from 1 species